rnacentral:rRNA from 1 species
AGAGUUUGAUCCUGGCUCAGAUUGAACGCUGGCGGCAUGCUUUACACAUGCAAGUCGAACGGCAGCACGGGGGCAACCCUGGUGGCGAGUGGCGAACGGGUGAGUAAUACAUCGGAACGUAUCCUUGAGUGGGGGAUAACGCAGCGAAAGUUGUGCUAAUACCGCAUGAGCUCUGAGGAGGAAAGUGGGGGACCGUAAGGCCUCACGCUGAAGGGGCGGCCGAUGUCCGAUUAGCUAGUUGGUGAGGUAAAGGCUCACCAAGGCUUCGAUCGGUAGCUGGUCUGAGAGGAUGAUCAGCCACACUGGGACUGAGACACGGCCCAGACUCCUACGGGAGGCAGCAGUGGGGAAUUUUGGACAAUGGGGGCAACCCUGAUCCAGCCAUGCCGCGUGAGUGAAGAAGGCCUUCUGGUUGUAAAGCUCUUUCGUGAGGGAAGAAACGGCCAUAGUGAAUAGCUGUGGUUACUGACGGUACCUCAAGAAGAAGCACCGGCUAACUACGUGCCAGCCGCCGCGGU